rnacentral:rRNA from 1 species
GGGUUGUGAGGUUAAGCGACUAAGCGUACACGGUGGAUGCCCUGGCAGUCAGAGGCGAUGAAGGGCGUGCUAAUCUGCGAUAAGCGCCGGUAAGGUGAUAUGAACCGUUAUAACCGGCGAUACCCGAAUGGGGAAACCCAGUGUGAUUCGUCACACUAUCAUUAACUGAAUCCAUAGGUUAAUGAGGCGAACCGGGGGAACUGAAACAUCUAAGUACCCCGAGGAAAAGAAAUCAACCGAGAUUCCCCCAGUAGCGGCGAGCGAACGGGGAGGAGCCCAGAGCCUGAAUCAGCAUGUGUGUUAGUGGAAGCGUCUGGAAAGGCGCGCGAUACAGGGUGACAGCCCCGUACACAAAAGCGCAUGUGCUGUGAGCUCGAUGAGUAGGGCGGGACACGUGGUAUCCUGUCUGAAUAUGGGGGGACCAUCCUCCAAGGCUAAAUACUCCUGACUGACCGAUAGUGAACCAGUACCGUGAGGGAAAGGCGAAAAGAACCCCGGCGAGGGGAGUGAAAAAGAACCUGAAACCGUGUACGUACAAGCAGUGGGAGCCCCACCACUAAGCCAGUGGUGAACUCCACAUACGCAUCCUUUGCUGAGGAUACGGUUAACGGAGCGCAAGCGACGUUCAACCUCAAAAGAAGCAGAGGGGGCUUAGUGGUGGGGUGACUGCGUACCUUUUGUAUAAUGGGUCAGCGACUUAUAUUCUGUAGCAAGGUUAACCGUAUAGGGGAGCCGGAGGGAAACCGAGUCUUAAUUGGGCGUUAAGUUGCAGGGUAUAGACCCGAAACCCGGUGAUCUAGCCAUGGGCAGGUUGAAGGUUGGGUAACACUAACUGGAGGACCGAACCGACUAAUGUUGAAAAAUUAGCGGAUGACCUGUGGCUGGGGGUGAAAGGCCAAUCAAACCGGGAGAUAGCUGGUUCUCCCCGAAAGCUAUUUAGGUAGCGCCUCGUGAAUUCAUCUCCGGGGGUAGAGCACUGUUUCGGCUAGGGGGCCAUCCCGGCUUACCAACCCGAUGCAAACUGCGAAUACCGGAGAAUGUUAUCACGGGAGACACACGGCGGGUGCUAACGUCCGUCGUGAAGAGGGAAACAACCCAGACCGCCAGCUAAGGUCCCAAAGUCAUGGUUAAGUGGGAAACGAUGUGGGAAGGCCCAGACAGCCAGGAUGUUGGCUUAGAAGCAGCCAUCAUUUAAAGAAAGCGUAAUAGCUCACUGGUCGAGUCGGCCUGCGCGGAAGAUGUAACGGGGCUAAACCAUGCACCGAAGCUGCGGCAGCGACGCUGAUGCGUUGUUGGGUAGGGGAGCGUUCUGUAAGCCUGCGAAGGUGGCCUGUGAGGGUUGCUGGAGGUAUCAGAAGUGCGAAUGCUGACAUAAGUAACGAUAAAGCGGGUGAAAAGCCCGCUCGCCGGAAGACCAAGGGUUCCUGUCCAACGUUAAUCGGGGCAGGGUGAGUCGACCCCUAAGGCGAGGCCGAAAGGCGUAGUCGAUGGGAAACGGGUUAAUAUUCCCGUACUUGGUGUUACUGCGAAGGGGGGACGGAGAAGGCUAUGUUGGCCGGGCGACGGUUGUCCCGGUUUAAGCGUGUAGGUGUGUGUUCCAGGUAAAUCCGGUUCACUUUAACACUGAGGCGUGAUGACGAGGCACUACGGUGCUGAAGCAACAAAUGCCCUGCUUCCAGGAAAAGCCUCUAAGCAUCAGGUAACAUCAAAUCGUACCCCAAACCGACACAGGUGGUCAGGUAGAGAAUACCAAGGCGCUUGAGAGAACUCGGGUGAAGGAACUAGGCAAAAUGGUGCCGUAACUUCGGGAGAAGGCACGCUGACACGUAGGUGAAGUGAUUUACUCAUGGAGCUGAAGUCAGUCGAAGAUACCAGCUGGCUGCAACUGUUUAUUAAAAACACAGCACUGUGCAAACACGAAAGUGGACGUAUACGGUGUGACGCCUGCCCGGUGCCGGAAGGUUAAUUGAUGGGGUCAGCGCAAGCGAAGCUCCUGAUCGAAGCCCCGGUAAACGGCGGCCGUAACUAUAACGGUCCUAAGGUAGCGAAAUUCCUUGUCGGGUAAGUUCCGACCUGCACGAAUGGCGUAAUGAUGGCCAGGCUGUCUCCACCCGAGACUCAGUGAAAUUGAACUCGCUGUGAAGAUGCAGUGUACCCGCGGCAAGACGGAAAGACCCCGUGAACCUUUACUAUAGCUUGACACUGAACAUUGAGCCUUGAUGUGUAGGAUAGGUGGGAGGCUUUGAAGUGUGGACGCCAGUCUGCAUGGAGCCGGCCUUGAAAUACCACCCUUUAAUGUUUGAUGUUCUAACGUGGACCCGUGAUCCGGGUUGCGGACAGUGUCUGGUGGGUAGUUUGACUGGGGCGGUCUCCUCCUAAAGAGUAACGGAGGAGCACGAAGGUUGGCUAAUCCUGGUCGGACAUCAGGAGGUUAGUGCAAUGGCAUAAGCCAGCUUGACUGCGAGCGUGACGGCGCGAGCAGGUGCGAAAGCAGGUCAUAGUGAUCCGGUGGUUCUGAAUGGAAGGGCCAUCGCUCAACGGAUAAAAGGUACUCCGGGGAUAACAGGCUGAUACCGCCCAAGAGUUCAUAUCGACGGCGGUGUUUGGCACCUCGAUGUCGGCUCAUCACAUCCUGGGGCUGAAGUAGGUCCCAAGGGUAUGGCUGUUCGCCAUUUAAAGUGGUACGCGAGCUGGGUUUAGAACGUCGUGAGACAGUUCGGUCCCUAUCUGCCGUGGGCGCUGGAGAACUGAGGGGGGCUGCUCCUAGUACGAGAGGACCGGAGUGGACGCAUCACUGGUGUUCGGGUUGUCAUGCCAAUGGCACUGCCCGGUAGCUAAAUGCGGAAGAGAUAAGUGCUGAAAGCAUCUAAGCACGAAACUUGCCCCGAGAUGAGUUCUCCCUGAGACUUUAGGUCUCCUGAAGGAACGUUGAAGACGACAACGUUGAUAGGCCGGGUGUGUAAGCGCAGCGAUGCGUUGAGCUAACCGGUACUAAUGAACCGUGAGGCUUAACCUUACAACGCCGAAG